rnacentral:lncRNA from 1 species
AAGGGAGAAAAAUAAUCUCUCUUGGUGCUUCUGCCUGCAAGGUAGAGCAUGUUUUUAGAAUUUAGGAUAAGGGAAGACAUUCUGGAUUGAUUCCAGUUAUUUGAGUUAUGGAGGGAAUAUCCUUCCCCAAAAUAGCUUUCAUGGUUGCUACUUGCCAGAAGAUGUAAAUUAAGAGCAGAUAGGUUUUCAUUCAAUUUCUUGUGUUCUUAGGUCUCUAAUUUCAUAUUCCUGCCAUAGCUUCUUCAUCUUAUUCUCCACCUCCCUCUCUUCCUUCAACAGCACUAUAAAAAGAAGCAUUUUCUUCCUUCUGUGCUCAGAAUCUUGAUUUAGAAGCUUGAAUAUGACAAAUGGAAAAUAAUGUUUACAAAUUUAAUUGAGUGAAGAAAUAUUUGGAAAGGGUUUGCAGUUUGUGUGCUUAUGUUUGUUUUGGUGUGUCUGUGUGUGAUUCUUAGGGAAGACAGAUAAGUGUAUGGAAAAGAAAAAAAAAUAGCUUUCUGUAGCUUUCUGUUUACUAAGAAAAAAUGGUUUUAACCCCAUCAGAAUAUUCACAACAAACAGCAUUCAUGAAAAAGAAAAAGGAAAACACUCAACCUACAAAAACUUUUUUUUUUUUUUUUUUUUUUUUUUUUUUUUCUGGAAAUUAAAGUGGUUUUGUUUCUUAUUCCCUGCUAUAGAAAAUAAUAAAAAUUCAGCUCAUCACUUUGAUGUCUACUUGAUCUCACGUGCCAGGAGGCCUUCCUCUUCAUUGCUUGCAUCCUGGCAAUCAGGGAGAUGA